AAUAUGUGCCCGGGGCAUAAUAGGGCUUCUAACCCUGCUAUGAUAGGUUCAACUCCUUUCACAUAUUU
rnacentral:tRNA from 1 species